GGGCUUCCGGGUCCAGCUGCUGACAGAAGGAGGAGCGAGCUGCACUGGGGCUUCAGCACCGAGUCCAGAGGGAGAGAGAGGCGAGCGGGAAGAGACUGGGGCAGCAUGAAUGUGCUGGAAGAUUAGAGGCUGCUGAUGCUGAAGGAAGGAGAAACGAGGAGGAAGUGUCCCUGUGGACAAGUCAUCUCCCUUCAUUUAAGCCAGGCCAGUAGUCCGGGAGACAUUCUGAAUGAUGCAUUAUCCUAGGCACCAGAAAGUAUCUAACAUUCUCAUGGACAGCAGGGAAAAAUGAGCACAUGAGACAGGGGAAGAUUCCAGCACCUGUGAACAUGUUUGUGCAGGUUUCCAGUCAGUACAUGGAUAUCCCUCAAGCCUUUGAAUCCAGUCUCCUGUGUUGUGAUUGGACCGUUUGUCAUUAGGUUUCCAGUGGCAGAGUAAUGCUGUGGGAGAACUGGCUACGAUGGCCGCAGGAGGUGAAUUAAGUAUUGUUGUGUUUUUAGUAGAACCACUAAAGGAAGAUCUGCAGGCAAGUUGGAUGAGUAUAAGAGCCAAAGAUUGACAAGACUUCCUCAGAUGCUCCUACUGACCAGUGGGGGCACUUCUACAGCUCCCCGAAUAUGUUCUCCCUGCAACCCCCACCACUUUUUAAUUAAAUGGCCAGAACUGCCUUUUUGUAUCAAAACUUAUUUUAGUCUAUCAAUCAAAGGCUUCUAUAGCCCACCUCAUGGCAAAGGAUAUCAGAGAGGUAAAAGAUAAUUGUUUUGACAUAUUUAUUAUCACAACUAGCGACUCUUUCUGCAUUCACAUUGGCUGGUAUGCAGAAAAGGGUGCUUUACAGGAUUCUUGGAAAUGUGUAGUGGAUGCUGGCUCUAGGGGAGGCAGAAUAGAGUGUGGGUUCUGCCAUGGGUCACAUCCGGGUUUUAAUUCUGCCUCUGCCACAUGACCUUGAGCACACUGGAAAACCCUAUUAGAUGUGCAAGAAGGCUUCCCCAUCUGUAAAGGUGGGUGACUUAGCAACUUUAGCAAUGCUUAAGUCACCCGGUUGUUGUGAGUAAUACAUAAGUUAAUGUAUGCUAACUUUCUAGAAAGUUUCCUGGCACAAAGUUGUAUUUAAUAAAUGAUUUUUAAAACAA
ensembl:lncRNA LINC00237 long intergenic non-protein coding RNA 237